UCCUGGUUUGAUUGAAACGACGAAGAAGCUGUGCUAUUCCCAAACUGGGAAACUGGAAUCACCUGAUUUGAAAGUGAGAUAACUUCUUCUUGCAAAUUCCUAUGAGAUUUAUUCAACUUCCUGGUGAUUCUCCACCACUUUAUGUAUCCAAAUCAAGCUUCUUACAAAGUGAUUCAUCCUGGUUUGAUUGGAACGACGAACAAGCUGUGCUAUUCUCAAACUGGGAAACUGGAAUCACGUUAUUUAUAAGUGGGACAACUUCUUCAUCCCAACUCCUAUGAGAUUUAUUCAACUUCCUGGUGAUUCUCCACAACUUUAUGUAUCCAAAUCAAGUUUCUUACAAAGUGAUUCAUCCUGGUUUGAUUAGAACGACGAAGAAGCUGUGCUAUUCCCAAACUGGGAAACUGGACUUACCAGAUUUGAAAGUGGGAUAAUUUCUUCAUGCCAACUCCUAUGAGAUUUAUUCAACUUCCUGGUGAUUCUCCACCACUUUAUGUAUCCAAAUCAAGCUUCUCACAAAGUGAUUCAUCCUGGUUUGAUUGGAACGACGAACAAGCUGUGCUAUUCCCAAACUGGGAAACUGGAAUCACCUGAUUUGAAAGUGGGAUAAAUUCUUCAUGCCAACUCCUAUGAGAUUUAUUCAACUUCCUAGUGAUUCUCCACAACUUUAUGUAU
rnacentral:lncRNA from 1 species